rnacentral:rRNA from 1 species
CCUACGGGUGGCAGCAGUGAGGAAUAUUGGUCAAUGGACGAGAGUCUGAACCAGCCAAGUAGCGUGAAGGAUGACUGCCCUAUGGGUUGUAAACUUCUUUUAUAUGGGAAUAAAACGUUCCACGUGUGGGAUUUUGUAUGUACCAUAUGAAUAAGGAUCGGCUAACUCCGUGCCAGCAGCCGCGGUAAUACGGAGGAUCCGAGCGUUAUCCGGAUUUAUUGGGUUUAAAGGGAGCGUAGGUGGAUUGUUAAGUCAGUUGUGAAAGUUUGCGGCUCAACCGUAAAAUUGCAGUUGAAACUGGCAGUCUUGAGUACAGUAGAGGUGGGCGGAAUUCGUGGUGUAGCGGUGAAAUGCUUAGAGAUCACGAAGAACUCCGAUUGCGAAGGCAGUUCACUGGACUGCAACUGACACUGAGGCUCGAAAGUGUGGGUAUCAAACAGGAUUAGAUACCCUAGUAGUC